CACUGGCAGCCAAGGUCUUUGUCUCGAUAAGAAGGAAUCGAAACUAUUGCACUUCCACUUACUGGAAUUCACAGCUUUCUAAAAAACACAGGAGGGUAUGGCCACUCCAGAACAAUGACUCUCCUGGGAGCCCUAAAGUAAAUACAGCCAGCAAGGAACGGAGGGGGGGGGGGGCAGGAAACAUCUAGCAUAGUGAUACCCAGACUUUGGUGAGCCUGGAAUCUCUCCCAGGGCCUGGGCUUGGGGAGUUUAGAGGAGCAGAGUCCCUCUUCCUCGACCGUGAACGCUCCCCAGGAAAGGAGCCAGUGUUUACCGACGCCAAAUUGCCAUGUGCCUGGCACGGGGCCAGGGAUUUUACGUCUGUCAUCUCUGGCCAAGCUCCCGGCAGCCCUUGCUGUGCUGAAUAAUCGAUGAAGAAUCAGAGAAGUGCCCAGCACCGCACAUGACACGAACAGCCAAAGACAGCACUCGGCGCCAUCUUCCGGGCACAGGUGCUCAGCAAAUGUCUGACUUGGGACGUUCCUCGGCUUUUGCGGAGAGGAAACUCUGGAGUCAAAGCCGUUGGCUGAGUCCUGGACGAGCCACCUUCCAGCUGUGUCAUCUUGGACCGCGAGACCAUGACCUGAGCUGAAGUCGAACGCUCAACCCACUGAGUCGCCCAGGCGCCUCACGCUGGCUCCUUUUUUCCUCCGCCUGUUCUUACUCCAACCUCCAAAGCACCUCUCUCCAUGACCGGCCAAGAGAGGCUCCUAGAAAUAAGAUUCAGUUAGGAGAUCACUCCGCUCCCCACCCCGCAUGGCUUCCAGGAGGCA